GAUGAAGAACGUAGCGAAAUGCGAUAAGUAAUGUGAAUUGCAGAAUCCAGUGAAUCAUCGAAUCUUUGAACGCACAUUGCGCCCGCCAGCAUUCUGGCGGGCAUGCCUGUUCGAGCGUCAUUUCAACCCUCGACCUCCCUUUGGGGAAGUCGGCGUUGGGGACCGGCAGCACACCGCCGGCCCUGAAAUGGAGUGGCGGCCCGUCCGCGGCGACCUCUGCGUAGUAAACCAACUCGCACCGGAACCCCGACGUGGCCACGCCGUAAAACACCCAACUUCUGAACGUUGACCUCGAAUCAGGUAGGACUGCCCGCUGAACUUAAGCAUAUCAAUAAGCGGAGGA
rnacentral:misc_RNA from 1 species